rnacentral:rRNA from 1 species
ACUCUAGUCUGGCAGUGUAAGGAGACAUAAGAGGUGUAGCAUAAGUGGGAGAUAUUAAACUUUUUUUUAUAAAAGUUAUUUAUCAAAAAUGAAAUACCACUACUCUUAUUGUUUCCUUACUUACUUGAUUGAGUGGAACGUGUAUCAUUUACUUAGCCAUUAUAUGGAUAUAAAUUUAUAUUUUUAUAUAUUUUUUAUAUUUUAUGGUAUUUUGUUUUGUUACAAGUUUCUUGAUAAAAAUACAAAGAGUUUGUUAUAUACACCAAACAAAUCUUCAAUGAGUUAUUAUAUAUUAAAUUUUUUUAUAAAGAUUUUUUUAUAUAAAUAAUGUAAUUGGAUUUGGUACGACUCUUAUAACUCUAGUAUAAUCCAUUUCAAGGACAUUGCUAGGUGGAGAGUUUGACUGGGGCGGUACAUCUCUCAAAUAAUAACGGAGGUGUCCCAAGGCCAGCUCAGAGCGGACAGAAACCACUCAUAGAGCAAAAGGGCACAUGCUGGCUUGAUCUCGGUAUUCAGUACAUACAGAGACAGCAAAAGCUAGGCCUAUCGAUCCUUUUGGUUUAACGAGUUUUUAGCAAGAGGUGUCAGAAAAGUUACCACAGGGAUAACUGGCUUGUGGCAGCCAAGCG